CCCUUAGAUGUUCUGGGCCGCACGCGCGCUACACUGAUGCAUUCAACGAGUCUAAAACCUGGUCUGAGAGGGCUGGGUAAUCUUUUGAAAGUGCAUCGUGAUUGGGAUAGAUGAUUGCAAUUCUUCAUCUUCAACGAGGAAUGCCUAGUAAACGCAAGUCAUCAGCUUGCAUUGACUACGUCCCUGCCCUUUGUACACACCGCCCGUCGCUCCUACCGAUUGAACGAUCCGAUGAAAACUGUGGAUUGAGAGUCUGAGUGGGUUCGCCUACCUCAACUUUCGAGAAGCGGUUUAAAUCUUAUCGUUUAGAGGAAGGAGAAGUCGUAACA
rnacentral:rRNA from 1 species